GUGCUCGCUUGGGCAGCACAUACACUAAAAUUGGAACGACAGAGAAGAUUAGCAUGGUCCCUGUGCAAGGAUGACACACAAAUUUGUGAAGUGUUCCAUAAUUAA
ensembl:snRNA U6 U6 spliceosomal RNA